CACCCUGCCACAGAAAAACAAUGAUCCAGCUGCCAUAUCUGGAGGACUCCAGCAGCAGAGGGUCCCACACAGCAGGCGCCUGCAGCCCCCAUCAGAUCCCUGGCAUGGAAGAGCUGCCAGACUCCUGCAAUGGGACUUCAGGGAGCAGGAGAUGCUGGCAGGGAGCACCUCUGUGGAUCAACUUCUUUUUGCAGGCAACUAGACAAGGGGGAAUGGCCUCAAGUUGCACGAGGGGAGGUUCAGGUUGGAUAUGAGGAAAAAUUUCCUCCCUGAAAGAGACGUAAAGCAUUGGAACAGGGUCUCCAGAGGAAGGGUGGAGUCCCCAUCCCUGGAAGUGUUAAAUAGAGAAGCAGACAUGGCACUUUGCCAUACAGUUUAGUGGCCAUGGUGAUAUUAGGUCAAAAGUUGGAUUUGGUGAUCUUGGAGAUCUUUUCCAACCUUAAUGAUUCUAUGAUUCAAUGAUUCUCUCUCUUGAUAUCCUUUGAGGACACUAGCAGCCCUCACAGUCCCCUCACCAGGAGUACAUUCCUGUGCCCCUCAGGCUUUUGUCUCUCUUGCCGUAUUUAAAAAGAUAACUGAAUCUAGACAAAACUGAUCUGUUUUCAGCACUUGGUCAUACUAGAACAGAAGGUCUGGUGGCAGCCAGCACAGACACCCCCUCCACGUCCAGCACUAUUAAUUUCCCCCCCUGAGCAUGGACAAGAUGGCUGCUGGCGUGGCCACUGCUCCUCACAAAAUGUCUGCCAUGGUGACCUGCCCUCACUGCAAAAUGGCUGCCACUAGAGUCACCACCAAGGUUCAGAUGGCUUGUCACUAUUUUCCCUGCCCCAUACCAGGAGUUUAUUCUCUCUCCUGUCAUAGUGUGGUCUCUGCCUGCCCUACCUGCUGAAGGGCAAGCAUGCCUAGCGCUUCCCUUUGGGGUGCCAUUAUCUAUCCUCCCACAAGGACAAGGUGGGGAGGAAAGGUCACAGGCUCCCAGGCUCACUGUCACCUUCCCUCACGGCAAAGGAGAUGUAGAGAGAUCCUACUAUCCUUUACAGCCCUCCUGAGACCUCAGUUAAAGCAUCACUGUCAUCUACAAUUAAGAAAGACCAAUUCUAUCUGAAAGAUUAAUGAAGGCCAAUACAGCAAUGUUAUGAAUGAAGAACCUGUCUUCAAAUGCAGGCUUACACAACACCAAGGCCUUCUCUGCUCCUCAUCCCAGCAGUGAGGAGGCUGGGGGUGCACAAAGAGUUGGGAAGGGGACACAGAUGGGACAGCUGACCCCAAAUGACCCAAGGAACAUCCCAGACCAUAUGUCAUCAUGUCCAGUACAUAAAGCUGGGGAAGAAGAAUGUUUGGAAUUACAGCGUUUGAAUUCCCAAGGAACCACUGAGUGUGAUAGAGCCCUGCUUUCUUGUGCAUGGCUCAACAUUUGCCUGUCCAUGGGAAGUGGUGAAUUAACUCCUUGUUUGUCUUGUUUGUGUGCUGUGCUUUGCUUUACCUAUUAAACUGUCUUCAUCUAAACCCA